GCUUUUCUGUUUAUUUUAGAUUACUUAUGGAUGUGAGUUCUACUUUUGGUAACAUUUUCACAGUACAUUAUGUUUUCUUGUCGGCGACAAUAUGUUUUGGAGCUAUUUCCGCCUACGUGAACGGAAGACUGGAAGAUUUAAAGAGUGUGUCGUUCUCUUUUAUUGUCAUAUUAAAUAUAUACAACUGUUGUAAGAAUGGAGAGUUAUUAACAAACGCAGCAACCGAUGUAUCUAAAUGUUUAUACG